UGCUGCUUCUUAGCCGCCCUGCUGGAAGUGGAACAGGAGAAAGAGAUGCUGAGCAUUGCCUUGGUUCCGAUAGAGGUGGAAUAGAGCUUGGUUCUGGUUCCGGCACUCGAUGAAGAUGAACAUGCAGGUGGCUCGCCCUUGGUUCAGAUGAAUGAGAUGGCUUAGGGGCUCACCUUAUCUCGUGAGUUGGUCCCGGAAGAGACGAAUAGAAUGCGCAUGGCAAUGGACUCGGAUUGGCUGGCUUACUCGCCUUUGCUUAGCUUUUUCAUGUAGUUCCGUCAGGGUCCUUGAGAGAUGAAGACGGAGAGAGAUCGGUUGAGUUGAUUCCACUCGUUCCUCCAAGGCCAGUGACUCGAGAGAAACUUUCAGAUGCUUGCUUCCCCGCCGCUAAGAGAAAUGAUGGCGGAGAGGGGGCCUUCGUCACAGACAGGAUUGGGAGGCUCCAGAAGGGAAUACUCAUCCAAUCUCAGAGAAGGUUGGUUCGUGG
rnacentral:misc_RNA from 1 species